GCCAGGCAUGGUGGCGCAUGCCUGUAAUCCCAGCUACUGGGGAGGCUGAGGCAUGAGAAUCGCUUGAACCUAGGAGCCGGAGGUUGCAGUUAGCCGAGAUCAUGCCACUGAACUUCAGCCUGGGUGACAGAGCAAGACUUGGUCUCAA
rnacentral:SRP_RNA from 1 species